GGGCUGUAGCCAAAUUAAUAAAACAAGAGGUUUACUGGCCGGUUGUUGUGAGGUUUCAUCUCUUUAAUCGACAUACCUGCUUACCGAACUUCUCACAAAC